AUUGAACGCUGGCGGCGUGCCUAACACAUGCAAGUCGAGCGGUAACAGGUGUAGCAAUACAUGCUGACGAGCGGCGAACGGGUGAGUAAUGCUUCGGAAUCUGCCCAUGUAGUGGGGAAUAACCAGCCGAAAGGUUGGCUAAUACCGCAUACGACCUACGGGUGAAAGCAGGGGAUCGCAAGACCUUGCGCUAUUGGAUGAGCCGAAGUCGGAUUAGCUGUUGGUAGGGUAACGGCCUACCAAGGCGACGAUCCGUAGCUGGUCUGAGAGGACGACCAGCCACACUGGGACUGAGACACGGCCCAGACUCCUACGGGAGGCAGCAGUGGGGAAUAUUGGACAAUGGGGCAACCCUGAUCCAGCGACGCCGCGUGUGUGAAGAAGGCCUGCGGGUUGUAAAGCUCUUUCGCGAGGAAGAAACGGUGGAUGUUAAUACCAUCCACUAAUGACGGUACCUUCAC
rnacentral:rRNA from 1 species